rnacentral:rRNA from 1 species
GACGAACGCUGGCGGCGUGCUUAACACAUGCAAGUCGAACGGAAAGGCCCACUUGUGGGUACUCGAGCGGCGAACGGGUGAGUAACACGUGAGUAAUCUGCCCUUCACUUGGGGAUAACGUCCAGAAAUGGGUGCUAAUACCCGGUAUUCACGUAUGACCGCAUGGUUGUGGGUUGGAAAGGUUUUUCUGGUGGGGGGUG